AGGCAGCCUGCAGGGCGGGGGCGGCGCGGCUGGCCGGGGCGCCUUGCAGGUCCAGUGAGUCGCAGACGCUGAGGGCGCGGCGGCAUACGGCGGGCCGCUCCCGGCUGGGCAAGCCCAGACCUGGAGAGGCCGGGAGUCAGCCCAGCACGGAGAGAGAGGCGGCAAGCCUGGCCUGGAACACCCAGGAACGGCGGCGCCAGGGAACCAGCCUGCUGGGGCAGCCCCUGGAACCCUCAGAAAACAGGAAAUUCCAGCCCAGGGCUCCUCCUUGGAUCGGGGCAGAACAAGCCCGUCCCCUGGGGAAGACUCAGUCCCUCCCCCGGUGCGUCCCCGCCGGCCUCCUGACCUCGAUCCACACUGACGCGCCCAGCGGGACCCAGACACGCUGCUCCUUGCCCAGACCGGAAACCGUACUCGGGGCCCCCUGAGGACCUCCGGCCCUGCGCCCACCGCACCCCACCGGCAAGCCCUCUGCUUCCCAGCAGCCUGUGCCAAGGGGAAAGGCAGCCAGCCUGUGCACACCCGCUGUGCCCCUGAAGGGCCCUGCGCACUGCCGCCUUCGGGGGGGGGGGCGAGACUCAGAGUAAAGAGUGGGCGCUCUGCCUCUUCGCCCCAGUUCUGACACGUUUCCUGCAUGUCACACUGUUCGACGGUCUGACGUCCCACGAGCUGCGCAUCUGCUUCCCCAGCCCCGACUGGGAGCUUCCUUCCUCAGCCGUAUCAGGGCUCUCGUUUGUGUUCCCCCUAUUUUUACAAAAG